rnacentral:misc_RNA from 1 species
GAAAUGCGAUAAGUAAUGUGAAUUGCAGAAUUCAGUGAAUCAUCGAAUCUUUGAACGCACAUUGUGCCCCUUGGUAUUCCAUGGGGCAUGCCUGUUCGAGCGUCAUUUGUACCCUCAAGCUCUGCUUGGUGUUGGGUGUUUGUCCCCGUCUCCGCGCGUGGACUCGCCCCAAAGUGAUUGGCAGCCGGCGUACUGGUCCCGGAGCGCAGCACAUGUCGCGCAAACGAGUGCCUUGGUACGGCGGCGUCCAUAAGCCCCUCUCUCACGCUCUUGACCUCGGAUCAGGUAGGGAUACCCGCUGAACUUAAGC